GACGAACGCUGGCGGCGUGCUUAACACAUGCAAGUCGAACGGAAAGGCCCUGAUAGCAGGAUACUCGAGUAGAGAACGGGUGAGUAACGCGGGAGAGAUCUGCCUAGCACUUCGGCAUCAGACUGGGAAACUGGGUCUAAUACCGGAAAGGAGCGAUUAUUAGCGUGUGGGACGGACAGAUUUCUCGGUGCGGGAGGAGCUCGCGGCCUAUCAGCUUGUUGGUGGGGUAAUGGCCUACCAAGGCGGCGACGGGUAGCCGGCCUGGGAGGGUGGACGGCCACAUUGGGAUUGAGAUACGGCCCAGACUCCUACGGGAGGCAGCAGUGGGGAAUAUUGCACAAUGGGCGCAAGCCUGAUGCAGCGACGCCGCGUGGGGGAUGACGGCCUUCGGGUUGUAAACUCCUUUCGCUAGGGACGAAGCUUUUGUGACGGUACCUAGAGAGGAAGCACCGGCUAACUACGUG
rnacentral:rRNA from 1 species